CUUCCAUCUCCAUCUCCUCGGGCUCGCUGAGGUGCUGCUCAUUCUGCUCGCUCGGCUUGGUGCAGUGGUUCAUGGUCUCGGAGAAGGCCUCGGCCCUCCUGGCGGCGGCGGCGGCGGCGGCGCCCGGCGGCUGGGACGGCGUGAGGGACGGCUCGCGGCUGGCAGGAACGGAAACCCGGACGUAUUUGCUCGCUAUGCGCCCAAUCUCGGCCGAGUGCUGCGCUCGAAGCUCCCUCCCCCCUCCCCGCUUGUCACGGCAAAGGGGGAACUCGCCUCGACCUGCCCCGAGAAAGGUGCGGGGAGAGCCAGCGCCUCUCCCCCUCCCCGGAGGAGUGUUUUUUUUUCUCAAAAAAAAUAACCUUCCCCCUUGAUGCCGUUGGACUGACUGAGAUACCUCAGCACUUUCUUAAAGACCUCCUCAGCAAAUACUGAAUCUUUCCAAUUUGAAAGUUAUGAUGUUUACAAAAAUGACCCUCUCCAGCCAGGUGCACAAGUAGCUCCCAGAGACAAAACUCAGCAAAACUUUAGAAAUGAUUCACACUGGUUCAACUUUCGUAUACCUCAAAAUGAGAAGUAUGAAUAACGUGCACAACUCACAGGAACUGUCAAAUGUCGAGUCUCCAAUGUGGGAAUCACAGGACGGCAUCUUCAAUGACCUCUGUUCAAACAUAGAAACUAAAGGUCAGCAGAAUUAUGGAGCAAUAAACAAAAACUACAAGUUCUUUUUAAUGGACUUUUAAGAAAAAAUAAUGGUGAACAUCUUAAAAGUUACAGUAAGACUCAGAAAACCUAUGAAAACUAAAAGUCUAGAAAGCAAUAUUGAUGACACAGGGAAUGAUAGAUUAUUGGAGAUAUGCAGAAAUGUAGUGUUGAUGGUAAAUCAGAUCAGCCAUGAUCUUAUUGAA